CAAUAAUCAGAAUGCCAACAAUAAUCAGGAAGGGGUAAUAGUUUUGGGUGUUUAUAUUCAUUGUGAAGGCUGCGCAAAUGAAGUGCUCAACCAUCUUCGUGGAUUUCAAGAUGUGGAGGGGGUGGAAAUUGAUGCCAAGAAUCACAAAGUUAGAGUGAAGGGGGCAAAUGCAGAUCCCAUCAAAGUUAGUGAGAGAUUGAGGAUAAAAAGUGGGAAACAUGUUGAAUUGAUUUCUCCUCAAAAACAAGACAAGAAGGAAGAGGAAAAGAAACCUGAGCCAACGGUGUCCGAGGUAGUGUUGAAAGUUUACAUACACUGCGAGGGGUGUGCAAAUGAAGUGAAGCAUUGCAUCCUAAAAA